rnacentral:rRNA from 1 species
CAAUAGCGUAUAUUAAAGUUGUUGCGGUUAAAAAGCUCGUAGUUGGAGUUCUGCCAGGUGCCGCCUGUCCGCCCCAGUGGUGAGUACGUGGCGCGCAUUUGGCCCUUUCAAGGGGAGCGUAUCUGCACUUUAUUGUGUGGUGCGGGAUCCUUGACUUUUACUUUGAGGAAAUAGGAGUGUUCCAAGCAGGCUCUCGUCGUGCACAGCUCAGCAUGGAAUAAUAGCAUUGGACCUCGAUUCUAAGCUGUUGGUUGCCAGAAGCGAGGUAAUGAUGAAGAGGGAUAGUUGGGGGCAUUCGUAUUUAACUGUCAGAGGUGAAAUUCUUGGAUUUGCUAAAGACGGACUACUGCGAAAGCAUCUGCCAUGGAUGUUUUCAUUGA